CCCCACCUACUCUCUCACCUCCCACUUGUAUCUUUGCUUCAUUUUACGGCAGAUAGGAUUUCUAUUCGUUAGAGCUAUAUUUGUUAAUGUGAAAGAAUCAUUCUAAUGGUUUCCCCACCCAGUGCUGGUUUAUGCUUUUUACCCUACAUAACCAAGUAGAUUUUAAUUUUUUCAGUUUACUAUAUGUAGCUCAAGUAAACAUAUACAGUACACACACACACACACCACACACGCAAGCACGCAUGCAAGCAUGCACGUACGCACACACACGCACACACAUGCACAGACAAAAGCUGUUUCUCUUUCCAGCUCUUUAGCUGUUUUCCUGACAGGCAGGUAGAGGUGUCAACAUGCGCAGAUGGUUUUUGUCCCUGAUAGAGAAAAUGGAGGAGAGGGAGAGCAGAGGGAAGCAGUGCUUACUGUGACAGAGUGACUAUGACAGCAUGAUAGACUAAAUAGAUUUUUAGAAAGCUUUCAGGGCAAAAAAAAACAACCAACAACUCUGAACAUAAACUGCACAAUUUUGACAAAUAGAUAAAGAAAUGAGAAAAGACAUCAGCUCUUUUUGCAGUUUUUUUCUUAGUCAGCGGUUUCAAGUUUUCUUAAAUAGCCAAUGAGAACAGCAGCGCUCCAAGUAAGUUUGGUAGCUGUAUAGCUUCAUGCCCUUCUACAUGGCUUUUACAGCUUUUGACUGGGUGUUUUUUGCUUAACCAUGGUCCAUUUGUUUACCCCUGGCUCAAUGUUCACCCUACUGGCAAGACAUUGACUUUCAUUUUUUAAAGACUUUGUUAAAAUGUUAAGAAAAUCUUUAUUCUGUUUGUAUAUUUGGAAUUGUCUGUGUAAUUGAGUUUGACUCAUUCAGGUCAGUGCCAAAUCAAUAGGUGAAGAUGCAAAAAUAUAAUAAAUAUUUUUUUUCAUUUUCAACUAAUCUCAGAUUUAAUAGAAUAGGCCAUAUUCUUACUAAAAAGCAUUUUGCAUUUUGACCGCGGUUUAGCCUGUUCAGACUUUUAGCACAAAACCAGUGGAAGUGAAUUUUGAACAGGGCUCUGCUCCCUGUUGUUGUACUUCAACAAGCACAACAAGCCUUUCAUAAAAACACACCCUUUACAGCAGCCACAUUUGUCAGGCCUAAAAUACUUCCAAGGUCUCUGCUGUCAUGAUUUCUCCCCUCCCUCUCUUUACUUUAGUCACCUUUCCUUCACUCAUUUUUUUCCUCAUGCUUCAUUUCCAAUUUCCUCUUCCUCUCUCCCUCCCUCUCUUUUACAGUAACUUGUGUUUCUGUCUUUGCUAUAAACUACGUCUCGUCAAGUGUAUCCAGGGUUAAAGGUUAAAGUCAUUUUAUGCGGGUCUGACAAAUUUAGGUAAAAACAAAACCAUGUACACUCUACAAAGCUAUCAAUUUUUUUGGCAAAGAUGAAAACUGACAUCCCUCUCCUGAAAAACAAAAUGAGCAGACUGACUGUUCCUUCAGGCAAAGAUGUGGGCGGGGGUGCAUAAAACUGCCGCACCACCGUCUCUGAAUAGUUAGCUCAGUCUGCCCUGCCGACCCCGAUCUCUUUUUCUCUUAUGGUUUCUCUCUUUAUUUUCUCUUUUCCGUCUGAAUCCCCGGCUGCAUUUUCAAUUCUCCUCGCAGCUACAGAAGUGUGACUACACUGGCUGCCCCGCUGGGAGGAACAUAACCACCAAGCCGCACGUCUCCCUCUAAAUUUCCCUGCUUUAAUGUGGAAACAAAAGCACGAGGCGAAAAAAAUGUCAACCUCAACUGUUAUCUCACCAAUUUUUAGCCAGCUUCCUCAGUGAAAACAACACUUUUCUUUGUAUUUUUUUGAGAUAAGACUUAGAGGAUGUCCCAUUUGCUUACAAAUAGCAAUUUAUGCUCUGCGUUACUAAGUAUAGCUGCAAUUAUCACAGACUAGAAACUGGAAACUUCAUUAGCUUGGUUCUUAUGCACCAAACACAUCUUUUCAUAACAUACAGCAAUGUACUUAAUAGCAGAUUAACUAGAAAAGAGGUUCUAAUGUUUUUGCUGGCAUGCUAUUUCAGUAAAUCCUGAUGGAAAUAAAUGAGAAAAAGGAAUGAAUUUGGGCCAUAUCAUUCUGUAUGCAGGAGGAGU